rnacentral:rRNA from 1 species
CCUACGGGCGGCAGCAGUGGGGAAUAUUGGACAAUGGGCGAAAGCCUGAUCCAGCCAUGCCGCGUGUGUGAAGAAGGCCUUCGGGUUGUAAAGCACUUUCAGUGGGGAAGAAAGCCUUGGGGCUAAUACCCUCGAGGAAGGACAUCACCCACAGAAGAAGCACCGGCUAACUCCGUGCCAGCAGCCGCGGUAAUACGGAGGGUGCGAGCGUUAAUCGGAAUUACUGGGCGUAAAGCGCGCGUAGGCGGUCUGAUAAGCCGGUUGUGAAAGCCCCGGGCUCAACCUGGGAACGGCAUCCGGAACUGUCAGGCUAGAGUGCAGGAGAGGAAGGUAGAAUUCCCGGUGUAGCGGUGAAAUGCGUAGAGAUCGGGAGGAAUACCAGUGGCGAAGGCGGCCUUCUGGACUGACACUGACGCUGAGGUGCGAAAGCGUGGGUAGCAAACAGGAUUAGAUCCCCAGUAGUC